rnacentral:rRNA from 1 species
AUUGAACGCUGGCGGCAGGCUUAACACAUGCAAGUCGAGCGGGGGGAGGUAGCUUGCUACCGGACCUAGCGGCGGACGGGUGAGUAAUGCUUAGGAAUCUGCCUAUUAGUGGGGGACAACAUCUCGAAAGGGAUGCUAAUACCGCAUACGUCCUACGGGAGAAAGCAGGGGAUCUUCGGACCUUGCGCUAAUAGAUGAGCCUAAGUCGGAUUAGCUAGUUGGUGGGGUAAAGGCCUACCAAGGCGACGAUCUGUAGCGGGUCUGAGAGGAUGAUCCGCCACACUGGGACUUAGACACGGCCCAGACUCCUACGGGAGGCAGCAGUGGGGAAUAUUGGACAAUGGGGGGAACCCUGAUCCAGCCAUGCCGCGUGUGUGAAGAAGGCCUUAUGGUUGUAAAGCACUUUAAGCGAGGAGGAGGCUACUUUAGUUAAUACCUAGAGAUAGUGAACGUUACUCGCAGAAUAAGCACCGGCUAACUCUGUGCCAGCCGCCGCCGUAA